UACGAAGGGUGCAAGCGUUAAUCGGAAUUACUGGGCGUAAAGGGUGCGUAGGCGGUUCGUUAAGUCUGUCGUGAAAUCCCCGGGCUCAACCUGGGAAUGGCGAUGGAUACUGGCGAGCUAGAGUGUGUCAGAGGAUGGUGGAAUUCCCGGUGUAGCGGUGAAAUGCGUAGAGAUCGGGAGGAACAUCAGUGGCGAAGGCGGCCAUCUGGGACAACACUGACGCUGAAGCACGAAAGCGUGGGGAGCAAACAGG
rnacentral:rRNA from 2 species